rnacentral:lncRNA from 1 species
AUGGGAACGGGCGGUGCCGGGAUGCCGGAGGUCAAUGGGACGGAAAGGGAGCGAAGCCGGGAUCUCAGGAUCUGGGAUCACCAGGAUCUGGGAUCACCAGGAUCUGGGAUCUUGGGAUCUGGGAUCACCAGGAUCUGGGAUCCCGGGGUUUGGGACGGGAGAGGGGCAGGGAAGGGCCUGGAGCCGGGAUCUCGGGAUUUGGGAUCACCGGGAUCUGGGAUCACCAGGAUCCGGGAUCAGUGGGAUCUGGGAUCAGCGGGAUUUGGGAUCUCCCAUCAAUGGGAUGGGAAGGGCCUGGGUUUGGGAUCACUGGGAUCCGGGAUCUCUGGGAUUUGGGAUCUCUGGGAUUUGGGAUCUCUGGGAUUUGGGAUCUCUGGGAUUUGGGAUCACUGGGAUCUGGGAUCACCAAUAAUUGGGAUGGGAAAGGCCUGGGAUUGGGAUUUCCAGGAUUUGGGAUCACCGGGAUUCUGGAUCUCUGGGAUUUGGGAUCACCGGGAUUUGGGAUCUCUGGGAUUCGGGAUCAGCGGGAUGUGGGAUUUCUGGGAUUUGGGAUUUCUGGGAUUCGGGAUCAGCAGGAUUGGGGAUCACCGGGAUUCAGGAUCACAGGGAUUCUGGAUCUCCGGGAUUUGGGAUCUCUGGGAUUCGGGAUCAGCGGGAUUCGGGAUUUCUGGGAUUUGGGAUCUCUGGGAUUCGGGAUCAGCGGGAUUCGGGAUCAGCAGGAUUUGGGAUCUCUGGGAUUCAGGAUCAGCAGGAUCCAGGAUCAGUGGGAUUCGGGAUCAGCGGGAUCACCAAUCAACGGGAUGGGAAGGACGUGAACAUCGGGAUUUGGGAUGGGAAACGCCGGGACUUGGGAUCACCGGGAUUUGGGAUCAGCAGGAUUCGGGAUCUCUGGGAUUUGGGAUCAGCGGGAUUUGGGAUCAGCGGGAUUUGGGAUCUCUGGGAUUUGGGAUCUUUGGGAUUUGGGAUUUCCGGGAUUUGGGAUCACCGGGAUUUGGGAUCUCUGGGAUUCAGGA